CUCGGGGAGACCCGCCUCGACCUCACCGUUCCGGGGCUCCGCCUCGCCGCCAAGGGCAAGACCACAAGCAGUGAUGGCCGCAGCGCAAGUAUUGUUUCAUCGCUUUUACUGCAAGAAAUCAUUUGUUCGAUUUAGUGCAAAGAGUUGCUGCUAGCUGUGUUUGGCUGGCAGGGAAGUUGGAGGAGAGUCUUAGAAAAUCAGAGCAUAUUAUAUUUGUAUUCCAUAGAAUGGAAUGUAGGAGAGAAAACUGGCCAAUUGAAUACUUAAAUGUCUUUUCAA